rnacentral:rRNA from 1 species
UACAGAGGGGGCAAGCGUUAUUCGGAAUUAUUGGGCGUAAAGGGCGCGUAGGCGGCCUGGCAAGUGGAAGGUGAAAUCCCUCGGCUUAACCGAGGAACUGCCCUCCAAACUGCUUGGCUUGAGUCCGGGAGAGGUGAGUGGAAUUCCCAGUGUAGCGGUGAAAUGCGUAGAUAUUGGGAAGAACACCAGUGGCGAAGGCGGCUAACUGGUCCAGAUCUGACGCUGAGGUGCGAAAGCGUGGGGAGCAAACAGG